AGGGCUUUAUGGAGACGUCCCUGGGCCUGGGGGGACACAAAGGGGGAGGCCCCCACCGCAGAGUGGAAGUGGGGCUGCUGGUUGGUGAGAGGAUUCCCCCCACCUUCUGCUCCUGUCCUGGCUGAAGUGCUCAGCCCUGCUGCCUCCCUCGAGUCCUGCAGCCCGGCUGGGAGGAGAGGGAGGUGUGCCUUUAAGCCCGGAGGGAGGCUCGCUGCGGAGGAGAGGUGCUUGUGGACGGAGCCGGCUUCAGGUUGCCAAGGUGAACCUGUCAAUAGAGUAUUGAACAGGCCAGCUGACUGGCCGUAAUUGUCUGUUUCAAAACAGCAGCUUCUGGCCCUCCUCGCCCGGCCUGGAGCUCUGCAGACAGGAUCCCAGCUGGGCGGGGGUCUCCCGGACAGGAAGCCCACCAGAGCCCACCCCUUCGAGGACGCAAUAGUCCAGAGCCCCAGGGUUUCUUUCCUCCCACUCCUACCCCGGCUUGUGACCUGGACCUGGAGCGGCACAAAGAGGCUGCCAGCUGGCAGGAACCUGCCCUCCUUCAUCCAGAGGGCCUUGCCGGGGCGGGACCCCCUCAUCGGGUUCCUGCCUGCCUGCCAGCCCUGGGCCUGUCCAGUGGGGCUGCUUGUCCCCUUUGCAGAGCCAAAUGAAAGUGUGGGGCCCCUUGUUCAAAAAUUAGGGACAAUUUUAAGAUGAUGGCGCAUUAAGCCAGCGUGGGGCCCUUCCAAGCUGGGGGCCCUGUGUAUGUCCCACCCCGCUCAGCUCAGGGCGCAGGAUCUGCUGGUCCUCCAUGGAGACAGUAUUCCUCCUCUCUGGGCUCUGCUGCCCGCUGGGUCUCAGUCUCUGGGCCCCCAAGCCCACCAGCCUGGCCCGCUUCAACAGCCAGAGGCUCACAGGAGCCCAGUGUCCUGGCAGUCCCCGCCUCCCUGUUGGGGGAGACUCUCAUGGCGGCCCCCCGGUCAGGUGUCCAGCUCCUGCCAAGAGGACCAGGCUCACGUGGCAGGGGCAGGGUUAGAAGGGGGCUGGGGCAAGGCAGGCUCUUUGAGGUGUGGCCUCGUCAGCCCACAAGCUGCUCCACCCCUCCCAGCUGGGGUUUGCACACUGCGUCGUUGGCCUCCUCCCUAACACCGGAUGCAGUGUCUCUACCCCUCCCUGCCUGCCCCACGGGCCACACAGUCAGAAGGGUCAAAACUCGAGGGCUUCUGGUUCAAGGGACCCUCAGACAUGGCCACUUAAGGCUAGGGGGACAGGGAGGAAUCCGGACAAGUUGGACACCUGUUGACAGUCCCUCUGCCAUGAGGAGGCAGGAGCGCAGAGUGGUUAGAGCUUGCUCCCCGCCCCCCUCCCGCCCCCAGCAUUCUCUUGGCAUAUUCCCACUGCUACCUGUGUGACUCCAGGGCUCAGUUUCUUCAUCUGCAAAAAGGAGGUAAGACCUUCUCAGCUCAACAGCCCUACAAAGGCCACCAAGGCCCUGUGUGACUUCCUCUGUGACCUUCUUCUCACUCUCCCCCUUGCACGCUCUGCUCCAGGUACAUGGACCUCUCCACCGAUCCUCAAACAUGGCAGGCACGCUGCUGCCUCAGGGUCUUUGCACUGGCUGUGGCCACAGCCUGGAACUUUCUUCCUCAGACAGUUGCAUGCUUCUCUCCUUUUCCCUCAAGUCUUUGCUCAAAUGUCAUCUUUUCAGUGAACUGCUCCUGACCACUCUGUGAUUACGGCCCCACCCCGCCGGCACUCCUCGUCUUCCCUUCUCUUUUCCCUGGCACCGACUUUGCCUUAGAACAGACAGUAACUUCUGUGUAUCGAAGAUGCUCCUUGUCUCUCUCCCAGAGGAGCAUAAAUCCACGACGGCAGGCCCUCCUCACCUCCCUUCUCUGCUGUGUCCCCAGCAUCUAGAACACUGCCUGGCACGUAGUAGAUACCCAGGAAAUAUCUGUCAAAUGAAUGUUGAAGAAGUAGGAUUUUUGCAAGGAACCAGAUGAUCCUGCCAGUGGUGUUCUAGAGCCGGCUCAUACUGGCUUGCGAGAGCUGAUGGCUAAAUUUUCAGAAAUUUUGUGAACCGGUUGUUAAACACAGACAUUAUUAAAAAUUAAAUUAUUUAAAUUUGCAAUUACAUCAAUUAUAUUAAGAACAAAGGUAAUAAAUGCUCAAAACUCAUUUCUUCCCCGUGAUCACUGCAUCGUACUCCUACCGGGUCCCGAGGUGACACUGGUCCAGGGAGUCUGUGUGAGGCAGACGUGGGCAGUGGCGGCCACUGAGCACCUGGUCCCAAUUCUGGGUUCCGUGACUUCCUGCUGGCAGCUCGAGAUCAGCUGCUGUGGGAGCAUUUACACCACGAAAACUGGCAAACGCUGCAAAUCGGGGCCUGAGGUAUUGUUUUGUUCAUUGUCUGGAGUUAAGAAAGCGAUGGAAACAAUGUUAAUGCUGCAGAUUGAUCAUGGCGUGUCUGUCGACGUCACACUGCGAAUGGCACAAAAAAUUGAGGAAAUACUCUCCCAGGAUUAAAAAAAAUCUUUUCUGAUUCAGCAAAGAAGUCGUUCACGUCAUUGCAAAAAGGUGAAGUCUGACAUGCUUCUUCGUUGUUUUGCUUUCAUUUUCCCAGUCAGCUGAAAUGAAAAUGUCAACCAACGUUUGUGUCCGAACUACACGCGUUCGUCAAUUGCAAGCACAGGUUGGCUACUGAUCCACGAGUUGGGCCAAAAGUCCACGAAAGAAAGAGUUCUGUGAAUCACCUGCUCGUACGGAGUUUACAUUUUAUUAUAAUUUGUAAAUUGUGUGAUACACAUCCUUUAUGUCAGUACAAUUUAUUUUAUAUAUAUAUGUAUAUAUUUUUUCCUUCCUUUCCCAAGAGAGCUGGUUGCUAAUGCUGGACAUUGACCAGUGCCUCAUACAGGGAGCAGCCCGGAGGAGGCAUUGAGAUUACUGUAAAUAAGUGAAGUGUGUUUAAUAAAAUGGUCUGAGGGGACCCGGUCAGCUCCAUAGGGAGCCCUAAAGAAGUCUAGGACUUGGGGGGAGAGGCCCAGGCCUGGGACACAGCGGGCGGUAAAACUGAGGUGCUGGGCGCCCCGAGAGGACCCGGGGGUAGGGAUGAGGGCACAGGGUGGGGAAGCCGGGAGCCCUGGCUGUCGGAUGGGAUCCUAAGGAAGGAGGCAUUUGGGCCUGUGGAUGGCGCACCCGUCCGCACCCCUCCCAGGGGUGCUUCUCCUCCCAGGACAGGAUGCUGCCUCGUGUAGGCAGCACAAAUCCUCGGGAUGCCAGACCCCUAAGGCAUUGUCCUGAAGGCAGAUGGCCCCAGGCCCCUGGACAAAGGCCCCGUUAUCCUCGGCGCUGCCCCACGCUGCUCUCUCUGUCUGUCCUCCCGGCUUGUUAGGGGACCUUGUGUCCUGGGACUGAUCAUGUCCACUCUCCCGGCCUCUGUAUCUGCUGAACGCAAGGAGGGGCUGGUCCAAUCCCAGCCCUGACCCUCCCCUUGCUGGUGGGAAAGAAUCAUCCUUUUGUCUCGUUCUUUCAGUGUGUUUGCAUUAAGUCUGCUUUAGCCUGGGUGGUCAGAGAAGGCCUCACUGAGCAAGUUCCAGGUGAAGUAUGACCCGCAUGUUGAGAAGGAGCCAGCCAUGUAAAGACUGCAGGGACAGCAGGUGCAAAGGCCCUGAGGCAGGUACAAACUGGGCGUGUUCGGGAACCAGAAGGAAGGCAGGAAGUGGAGCAGAGGGGAACAGGGCAGGAGAGCAGAUUGGGGGAGGAGGAAGGCAGCUUGCCCCGGUGCUGUGGCUAGGAGUUUGGACUUGAUUCUAAUUCGUAUGGAAGGCCUUUGGAGGUUUGAGCAGGGGAGUAGGGGACCAGUACAUGCUGGCCAGAUACAGGGUCAGGGCUAGACCCUGGGGCACGGGGCCAGCUCCCAGGACUUGAGGAGGAGCCUGCUGGAUUAGCAGUUCCUGAGGCCCGUCUUCACCUGGUUGUCUGUGAAGAAGCACCUCAGAAGCGCUGUCUCUCUCUGAGCAGCACGGAUUUGAAGACUCGAAUGCCAACCAGAGAGGGGAGGGCUGAAGACACAGACACCAGCAGCCAGCCUACAGGGUUCCGCAUCCCAGCUCGGCCAUUGACUCCCCCUGGACCUUGAGGAAACAGGGAGGUGCCGGACAGCCAAGCCCGAGUGAGAACCCCCACCCAGGAUGAGGAUCCCUGGGGCCAGGGACGCACAUCACCUGUAGGCCAGCGGGCCUGAGCUGUGCACCUCGCUGCUCUCUGCGGAAGAAGACGUCACAUGCGGCCCAGCCGCAGGCUCCAGAGUCCCGGGAGCCUCGCAUGUGGGGCCCGUGGAGCGCCUGGGGGCCAUGGGGCUUGGAGCCCAGGAGCUGUCACUGCUGCCCUGUGGAGGGUCCCUCAGUCCCUGUUGACCUUGAACGGCGACCCCUGGGUGCAAGCGGGAGACUUUUUGCCCUGGGUGUGAGUUGACCCCUCUGCUGGGUCUAUAUGGGUCCAGGAAGUGCCCGGUCAGGGGACCGAGCCCAGGCAGUCCUCAGGACUCUGUUGGGGGCAGGGUGCUCUCUGAGAAGCAGAAUCAGGCUUGGGGCACCCGUGUCAUCUAUUUUGGGUCUUCGGCUCACUGCUUGUGAAGGGGGUCUUUUAACACCAAACCCAGUGCCAGCCUUGGACACGUGGGGGUGGCCUGGAUGGCUCGGCUGGGCAGGGCUGGGCUAACGUCCACCCUGGCCGCUGGCUAGAAGAGGCCACGAGAGGGGGGCCAGGGCGCCAUCCAGCUCCUGGGGAGCCGCCUGCUGGAUUGCGCAGGGGGCUGGGAACCCACUGGGUUGUGUGCCCAGGAUGGCAGCACGCAGGGUUGUGUUCUGGUGGCUCAGACCUGCCUUAUCCCCCACUUACAGAGGGGUAAACUGAGGUUCCAACUGUGUGUGGUGGCGGCAGGGCUGGGACUUGACCCCACACCUCCGGCUGGAAGCCGCGCCCCCAGAUCUUCUCUUUUAUUCCCUGGGCCCCGACGAGGCCCUGGGUCUCCACACAUCGUGACCAGCCGGCAGGAGGGCCUGGGGUUUGUGGAACAAUGUGGAGUGAGUUAAACAGACACAAGUCCCCGUUGUCGUGGAGAUUAUCGUUUCAGAAGGUGGAGCUGGGGAGGGGUGGUGGGGGCUGAGGACUGUCUGACGGCAGCUCCCGUGACUUGGUCCCACCGAGCCUUGGGCUGGGCGCCCGGUAAAUACACUCCUAUGUUAUCCACACGACCACUGCAUGAGGUGGUCAUUAUUGUCCUCAGCUCUGCGGGGUAAACCGAGGCAAAGACAGUUGAACAAUAUGCAAGAGGGCAUGAGAGGUGAAUGUAGUUUGCACGUGGGAUGGAUGUGAAUUUGGGGGGCAAGGGGGAGACUAUAAUGGGUUGGAUAGUAGCCCCCGCAAUAUGUCUCCCGGAACCUCAGAAUGUGACCCUACUUGGAAUAAAGGUCUUUGCAGAUGUAGUUAAAGUAAGGACCCCGAGAUGAGAUCCUCCUGGAUCAGGGCGGACCCCAAAUAUAAUGACGAGCGCCCAUGUAAGAGACUGAAGAGGAGAAGACGCACAGAGACAUUCUGACGUCUCCAGAAGGCCACGUGAGGGUGGAGGCAGAGAUGGAAGUGAUGCAGCCAUGAGCCAAGGACACCUGGGGCCGCUGGAAGCUGGAAGAGACAAAGAAGCGUCCUCCCCUAGAGCCUUCGGGGCAGCGUGACCCUGUUGACACGUUGAUUUUGGACUUCUGGUCUCUAGAGCUGGGGAGAAGAAACUUCUGUUUUUUUAAGCCCCCAAGUUCGGGCGGGACCACGAUCCGGCCCUGGGGGCGUCUGCCACAGGCCUUGUUUCUCACGCCCCUGCCUGCCCAGGCAGGCCCUGGCCUAGAGUCCUGCAUCCUUUCCUUGGUGGUGGAAAAGGAAGGGCCGUGCAUCUUUGCCGAGCACCUGCCAAGGGCCAGAGGCUGUCACAGGCCUUCUCAUCCACAUUCGUGCCAGCCUGUGAGAUGCCCACUCUUAUCCAUCCUACAGAUGAAGGCAGUCCGCAGACGAGGCCCUGGCUGGGCCCUGAGAGGGUGGGGCACUCAGAGAAGAGGGGCUCUGAGCCCCAGAGCUGUCGUUUGCUUCCACCAAAAUGCCCCUGAACGGGCAGGGUGUGAUGAGAGAAUCGCUCAGUGGACGCACAGCACGAUGCCAUAAAAACCCCACAGCUGCCCUCUAAACACGCGUGCCCAGAGAAAGGUCUGGAAAGAUAGACCUUUUAGGGCUGUUCUCGGUCCUUCCUUCCCCACAGCCCCUGCCCUAGGUCCAGCCCUCACCCCGAAGGCCGUAGCCCUGGCCUCUCUGCUUCUCCUUUUCCUGAAAAUCCGCCCCAAACACCCAUUUCCUUACUCACUCCUGCCCAAGCUGCCCUAUUCCGUGCAUCUGAGCACCAAGGGCCUCCUGGGACCCACCUGCUGCCUGGCCCUUGCUCCUCGGCCCCGUCUGCCCCCGGCUUCCCUUGGAGGAGCCCUGUCCCCACUGGGCAGCCUCCCCUCGCCCCCCUUUAGGGCCCUGCCCCGCUCAGGCUGCACCCCUCCCUUUCAGGGCAAGGAGGGAGGGGAUGACCCUCUGCCGAGCGCGCCCUACAUCCCAGGCCGGGUGAGAGGGCCUUUGCUCACAGACCAGCCCCUCAUAAGAGCCCUGACGCUGGGUCUUAUCUCCAUUUUACAGAUGAGAAAACUGAGUCUCAGAUGCGAAUAAACGGGUUCCCACAGCUGCGAAGCGUCGGAGUUGGGACUGCCAACACCCAUUGCCCAUGUCCGUGCUCUUAAAAGUCAUUGAGCGCCUACUCUGUGCACACUGUGCCUGACUGCUGGGCCCCAGGCGCCUGCUCUGAGAACCGCCAGAGCCUGCCACGUGGACCCCCUCCCCCCGGCAGCCGUCACAUCUGCAGCUCUCGUGGUGACACUUCAUCAGUGAUGUGGGAUGGGGACGUCACUCUUUCAAGUCUGUGUGCACACGGCACGCCUUAUCUCCCCAGCUGGACCAGCACACCCGGCCAGUGGGACGUGCCUGCGGUUUCUCCCAUGUCUCCUUCUGUCCCUAGCAGGCACUCUGGCAUGCGUGUAGCAAUCCUUCUUGAAGGAAUGUGUAAAAUGUGGAGUAGAUGGUGACGCUGACCACCAGGGCCGAAUUUCAGUUAGGCCCUGGUGCCUUUAUAGGUGACCACAGUGCUUGGUGCUGAGUACUUCAUGAAACUCCUCGUUGCAUCCUCCCAAUGGGCCCUUUGGGACUGGAGGACGCCCAGAGAGGCCAAAUGACUUGCUCAGUGUCACUCCAUGGUGCCUGGACCGGGGAUUGAAGGCUGGCUGUGCUGACGUCAUCACAGGAGCUGGGGGGCCAGUGGGCUUGUCCAUUUAUCCUGAGGGUCUAGGGCAGUGCUAUCCCGUGGAAGCAUCAUGUGAAACGCAUCUGUAAUUUUAAGUUUCCUGGUAGCCACGUUAAGAAAGUAAAAAGAAACAGGUAAAGUUGAUUUUAAUAAUAUGUUUUCUUAGCCCAGUGUAUCCAAAAUAUGUGAUCAGUAGAAAAAUUA